rnacentral:lncRNA from 1 species
GCGCGCUCUCGCUCUCCCUCUCGGUUUCCUCCCUGAUUUAUUCCCCCGAUUGCCGAGGCGAAGGCGGAGGCGGGGGCGGGGGCGGAGGAGGGGUGACGGCGCUGGAGGGUGGGGGUGGCUGCAGGAAUGGGGGAAUGGCAGGCAGAGAGACUUGUGGAAGCGAGAGGCUCCGUCUGGCUUCUCAGGAGAAGCUUCUGAAAGAAAGAGACCCUUAUUAAUCGGAAAUGGAUUUUCCAGCUCUCUGAAGGCAAUCUCCCAAAACAAAGACUGAUAAUACUAGUACUACUAUUAACUACUGACCAGAUUUUAAAAGCGUGUGUGAUUUUAUGAUGCUUAGCAUCAUGAAUUGUUUUUCCUUCCUACUUAUCUCUCCUUUUUUAAUGCUUUAUUUGUUUUCUUUAUGUUCUCUGCAUCUCUGUCUGGCUCUUUGUUUCUUUCUUUCUACUCUGAGUGGCCUCACAAAAGGCACCCCACCGUGACUUAACUUAGUUUGUUUUAUGCUAGGCAUGGAGACUGUGGCAGCAGGAGCUGCGCAAAUGAGGGAUGAAGUGGGAUGUAAUGGGACUGAGAACUACAGCUCAGAAGGGAUAUUUUAUAUAACUGAAGAUAGCAUUCCACUCCAAAAUUAGAUAAGCAAAUAGUCAAAUUCAUCAUUUCUUCCAUUUUUUAAUAAUUCAAAAGCAGACAUUCUUCCCCAGCAUGAGGAUGAAGAAGAGCAGAAUUAGAUGCCCAUUAUUGUCUAUGUGAUAUGUUGGUAUCAUAAUACGCUCACUACCUAAAAAUAUCAUUAUUAUAUAUUCUGUCAAUUAUUUCAACAUCAACUCCAGACUUCCCACUAUGGUACACUGUUUCCAAUUUUAUAUCUUUAGGAGAAAGGGCUUAAAGAAUAAAAGAAUGUAAUAAGCUUGUAGAGAAGGUAAGUCAGCUUUUAUUAUUAACUUUGUUGGCCUUUGAGCCAAAUCUCAAUUUCUUUGGAUCACUCUGAUGAAGCACUGUGUUCUCCAAUAUGUGAAGCUGUUGAGGAAAGAUAUUGCUUCUACAAUUCUUACUGAAAGGGUUGAUUAUCAACUGUGAGCCUACACCAUUGUUUAAAACUCUGUUGUGAGGUUUGCUAUUAAUUGCUUUUUACCAAUCUAAACCUUUUUAUUGAGGAUAUUCAAAAUGUGUGGGUUUUUUUAAUGUAUGACAGCUAAAAGAAGACCAUUUCCAUAACAUAGCAUUAUGUUUCUGUUGGAUUAACUAUACCCAUAACGGUGCAUUUUUUCAGCUCAGUUCUGUUAUUUUGGAAAAUCCCCUUAAAAUCAGAUUUUAUCCCAUUAAUCUUAAUAAAAUGUUGCUUAAUCACGAUAAAUUUGCUAUUCAACAUAAAAUGUUGACAGAUCAUAAGGAUUGAUGUUAAGCUGUUAUAGUAAAUGAUGUAAAUGUGCAGUAAAUACAGUAAAUAUAUUAGAGGUUAUAAAUGUGCAAGAAGUCACAAAUCAAUAUCUACUAUUCAUUUAAAAAGAAAUAUUUUAAUUAGAAAGUAAGUUAGUAAAGUAUUGCGGGAGAUUUUUGCAUUUAAUCAUUUCUAGAACAAAGUUUAAAGAGAUUUAAUUCAUGCAAAUCACUGACCUUUACCUACCACAAACUUGAGAUUAGCACCUUUUGGCUCAAUCUCAAUUGUUAAUUCAUAUGUUUAAUUUGUUCAUAUGCAUUUCAUUUUUUAGUAACUAAGAGUAAAUAAAAAACAAUAAAAACC